rnacentral:rRNA from 1 species
ACGGGAGAGUAACACGUGGGAACGUGCCCUUUGGUUCGGAACAACACAGGGAAACUUGUGCUAAUACCGGAUAAGCCCUUACGGGGAAAGAUUUAUCGCCAAAGGAUCGGCCCGCGUCUGAUUAGCUAGUUGGUGAGGUAACGGCUCACCAAGGCGACGAUCAGUAGCUGGUCUGAGAGGAUGAUCAGCCUCACUGGGACUGAGACACGGCCCAGACUCCUACGGGAGGCAGCAGUGGGGAAUAUUGGACAAUGGGCGCAAGCCUGAUCCAGCCAUGCCGCGUGGAUGAUGAAGGCCCUAGGGUUGUAAAGUCCUUUCGGCGGGGAAGAUAAUGACGGUACCCGCAGAAGAAGCCCCGGCUAACUUCGUGCCAGCAGCCGCGGUAAUACGAAGGGGGCUAGCGUUGCUCGGAAUCACUGGGCGUAAAGCGCACGUAGGCGGCUUUUUAAGUCAGGGGUGAAAUCCUGGAGCUCAACUCCAGAACUGCCUUUGAUACUGAGAAGCUUGAGUCCGGGAGAGGUGAGUGGAACUGCGAGUGUAGAGGUGAAAUUCGUAGA